AAGACUACACUUUCAGGGGUCAUUUCCAUAGUUCCUUCCUAGAGAACUUUCUCUGACUGUGCAGAGUACCUGAGCAGACACAGCAUUCUCUCCUGAGUGUGAAGCUGGCUCUGGGCAUGGCCUUGUGUACUGCCCACUACCACUGAUGAUUGCUCUUCUCUCCCCUGGUAGAGUUAAAGGGAGAGAACCCAGCUGGA
rnacentral:snoRNA from 1 species